rnacentral:rRNA from 1 species
GUCUAUGGCCACACCACCGUGACGCACCGAUCUUGCCUGACUUCAGAAGUUAAGCAGGACUGGGCCUGGUUAGUGCUUAAGGAGAAGAAUGAGAAGAGCCCCAGAAC